rnacentral:rRNA from 1 species
UUUUCAAAGCUGGGGACCGCAAGGCCUGGCGCUUCAUGAUGAGCCCGCGGCCUAUCAGCUAGUUGGUGAGGUAACGGCUCACCAAGGCUAAGACGGGUAGCUGGUCUGAGAGGACGACCAGCCACACUGGAACUGAGACACGGUCCAGACACCUACGGGUGGCAGCAGUCGAGAAUUUUUCACAAUGGGCGCAAGCCUGAUGGAGCGACGCCGCGUGGGGGAUGAAUGGCUUCGGCCCGUAAACCCCUGUCAUUUGCGAUCAACCGUUAUUGUUUAAGAGAUGAUAACCUGAUAGUAGCGAAAGAGGAAGGGACGGCUAACUCUGUGCCAGCAGCCGCGGUAAUACAGAGGUCCCAAGCGUUGUUCGGAUUCACUGGGCGUAAAGGGUGCGUAGGUGGCGAGGUAAGUCGGAUGUGAAAUCUCCAAGCUCAACCUGGAAAAUGCAUUGGAAACUACCUUGCUUGAGGGUUGGAGGGGGGACUGGAAUACUUGGUGUAGCAGUGGAAAUGCGUAGAUAUCAAGUGGAACACCAGUGGCGAAAGCGAGUCCCUAGACAACUCCUGACACUGAGGCACGAAAGCUAGGGGAGCAAACAGGAUUAGAUACCCUGGUAGUCCUAGCCGUAAACGGUGCACGUUUGCUGUAAAAGGAAUCGACCCCUUUUGUGGCGU